CUCAGGUCCUCGUGCUUACACUUUACCCUCUAGCCCAGUUUUCCCUCAUUUAUUUUUUGGGUCCAUUCUUCUCCACCCACCACCACCCCAGGCCCUCAUCUGUUUUGUUCUGGCCUUCAGUCGCUGAGUGAACGAAACUUGCCAUACAAGCUCUAACUCUCACGUGGCCCAUAAAGGUGCAUGCCAGUGUUUUCUUCUAGAAAAGAGGGUCGGAGAGGCUUUCCUCAAAGUUUGAUUCUUGGACUGUCCCGGCCCCGCAGGCCACACUCAGACACAGAAGUCUGGAUGAGUGAGGAAACACAGAGCAGGAGCCCCAGGCAGGCGCUACCCCAUCCAUCUAAGGCCCCUGGUCAGCCAACAGGUCCUGGAGGUGGUGGGAAGGAGACAGGUCUUCGGACGGGAACGGGAGCCCUGAGUGCGAGCCUCACUGUCAAGGUUGAACCAGGCCAGUGACCCUGAAACCAGCCAUGGCUAUUAAGUAGUCAGAGCCAAAGCUGCUGGAGACCACACACCGGGCCCUCUCCUGGGAGGUAGAGAUGGUUGUGCUGCUUGCAUGAGUCCCUGUGGAAAGCCCUUGCACAGAGGAGGCAGGGGGUGCACGCUCAAGACUCCCAUUGUCCUGUUGGGACCGUGAAGGCACCGAGGUCAAGCCGCCAGGCCACCGGCUUCAUGGAAUCUACAGACCAAGCUGGGAAUCCAUUUUGCCCAGCCCCUGACCCCAGGCCUUUCCACUGUACCCCAGUCCUGGCCCCAGGUCUGGCAGAAGUCCAGACUGCGGUUGGAAGCCAGUCUCUCUCCCCGGCACUUCACUGUCCCAGCCCGCUCCCCAGGAGCCAGGUGUGUUUCCUGCUUGGCCGCUUUAAACCGCCAUUAAGGUUUCCUGACAUUAAACUCUUUCCCAGACCCAAACUGUCUCU